AGGCGUGAGCCACCGUGCCCCCCGGAGAGUUUAUUUUUAAAGAGACUAUUUACAAGAGAGUUGGUGGGGUAUAAAGAAAACACAAAGGCUCGUCCAGGAAUUAGGGCUUAGGAACAGCAGGAUGGCUGAUGCCCGUAGGUACUAAGGGAGUGAUUAUCAGAACCUGGAAAGGCAGUGUCAUUUGUAGGAGACCCCUUUGAGAGGAGCAAUGACUUCUAUUCAGGGGACACAGACUAUUCAAGGGACACAGAUAGCCAGAGGCUUUUUUCCUGGGAAAAAAGCCAAGGGAAUAAAAACUUUGAUCUCACCCUCUCCCUUCCUCUGAUUUUCUGCCAGAGCUCUCCGUUGGCCAAACCAAACUGGAAGGCAAAGGGAAAGGGAGCACGUUCAUCUGGGUCAGCCUCCCAGGGCAGAGCAGAAGGUCCAGAAUCUAGAUGUUAAUACAUGUAUUCAUAUAGAAGAUUUAUAAUUUCAUCAAGUAUUAAUCCAGAAACUCAACAGGAAGGAAACAGAGAAUGCCACUUAGCCUCAGCUACAAGUAGGACCUACUUAUAAAGAAAAUGCACUUCAAAUAAUGAAUUCAGUGGCACUGUUGAGAAGCCCAGGUUCAUUGUCCACUGCUCAAGGAGAAGCCAAUACACUGAGACAGCAGGGUUUACAACAGAGAAAGAGUUUAAUACUACAGAUACAGGCAUCUUGCUGUGUUGCUCCAGCUGGUCCUGAACUUCUGGCUUAAAGCAAUCCUCUUACCUGAGCCUCCCAAUGUGCUGGGAUUAUAGGCAUGCGUCACCGUUUUCAGCUAGAUUACUCUUUCUUAGUAGUGAGAUCAGAGAAUGCUGCCUGUUUUAAACUGCAUUUUAAAAAAGUCUUUGAAAAAGAGUUCAAAUUUGAAUAUGCAGAAUUGGGAAGGGGGAGCCAGGAAGGGGCCCAGGGAAGAGAAUCCAAACAAAAAUGCAAACAAAACUCCAAAAAUAUUUCUUACUAAUAAUGGGGAAGUAGCUAUAAACACACCAGCUAUUAUCCUUAUCAUCCUUAUUUGAACACUAUUUGGUAUAUUGGCCACUUUGCCUACCACGCUGAUUUGCUUUCAACUUUCCUUAUAGUAAUAGCUGUUGUGCUCUUCCAGCAGAAUCUUCAGUGUUAGCCCCAAAAUUCUUGUGUUCCAAUCAUGUGAAAGUUGAUUUUGCCGAGUUUGUCAUGAGAUGUUAACAUGUUAAAAAUAUAUAGCUAUGUCAGUCUUUUUCUCUAUGUCCCCUUUGUCAUGGUGAAUAUCCUUUAAAAAAUGCUACAUGAAAUCAUAUUUCUCCGAUAAAUUCAUUAAUAUUAAAAUUUGCUUGAAAUGUUCUUCUUGUUCUUGUAUUAUUCAACCAGAUAAAAAGGAGGAACAGAUCAAUUUCAUGUGCCCUCAGUAAUUGCAAUUUUCAGUAUUUCAAUCAUGUGCCUUUAUACUCUUUCUCUUUUGCCAGCUAAAUAAUCACUUGGAGUUAGUUGCUGCAGUGAAACUUGAAACCUGAUCAUUGAAGAAGCCUGCAAUUUAGCAGAAAACAAGUCACACCAGGAUCUUCUGCUCCAGCUGCAUAUUGAGGAUUCAAGUCUCCUUAAAAAUACCCCUGUGCUUCUAGUUAGUUUAGUUGCUUAAAGAACUUUGCAAACUUGUUGUUUUGGAAGAAUAUUAUACAUUCAUACCCACCUACAACUCCUAGAGGGUUCACUAUAGUCUUACAAUACAAUGCCACUUAAUCAUAAUUUGUGGGAAAUGAGAUGUGCUGGUUAAACAUAUUUUCUGGUUAAACCCUUUUAUCUUUAAAUCUUGUUGCAUGAUUCAGAAUUUUGAGUUGCUUCAUUUCGAAAAAAUGAUGCUGUUAUUGGGAUCAGGACAUAUGCUGCUAGUUGCUGUUCCGAUAUUAUUAUGCUGCUGUUGUCAUUUGUCUCUAAUAAGGGCAGAUCCUUCCUUACUCUCUCUUCUCUCUCUGUUCCUCUCUCUCCCUGCCUUAUGCAUGUGUGCAUGUGUGUAAUCGUAGGUGCCAAUUAAUGCCAGCAAAUGCUCAGCUUUAGAAACACCUGGAAUAAAUUCUCUUAUUUUUCCUCUCCCAGUCACUAGUCCUUCUAAAUUAAAAAAAAAAAAAAGAUUAUUCAUAAAGCCAUAUCUCCAAAUAUUUGUGAAAACAUAUUAUUAACAGCUAUCAAAAGCUCAUCUAUACUUAAAUUUGCCAAGUUGAUAUUUGGUGGUUGUGAAUGUAACCCUUUGGUUACAUCUAGAGAGAACACAGCCUCCGGGAUAUGAAAAAGGAGGGCAUAUGUAACAAUCAUUUUUACAGUCCUAAGCCCUAGGUAGCAGGGAAAACGGUUGGCAUACCAAAAAGUCACCAUUACCACCAUAAAUUUAUUCAGCAAGUUUUUUUUAAAAGUCUACUAUGUGCAAAUUGUCAUGGAGAGGACAAGACAUAGUCUAGUAGUUUAAUGUGGAAAUUAAGGGUUCCACUAAUUUGUCAUAAAUGCCAUGUCCGUGGUUCAGGAAAUAAAUAAUAUGACAAAUCAGAGGAAGAUGAUGUCAUUUCUGACUGCAUGAUAAGGGAAUGUUUUGUAAAAGACAUGACAUCUGAGCUGAUCCUUGAAGAAGGGGUAAGAUUUUAGUAGGCAUUGUUGACGGUUCAGCAAAAACAGAGGUAGGAAUGCCCAACUCUGUUCAGGUACUGUAAGGAAAGAUGCAUGAAAGUGAACAGUGACAGAAAGGCUUAGAAAGGCAGGGAGGAUUCAAUUAGAGAAAACUUCUGCAAGCUAACAUUUGAAUCUUAUUCCAAAUAAAUGAACAUUUUUGACAAAAGCAGUGGUCAAGAGCACAGGCUUUGGCAUAAGAUAGAUUUGAGCUGCAAUCCUGAUUCCACUUAACUGUUUAUGAUCUUGAGCAAGUCAUUUACCUCUCCAAGCCUCAGGCUGGUCAUCUCUAUCACAUACGGCUGUUAUCAGGAUUAAAUGUAAUUGGGAUAUGAAGCACCUACUAAUUCUGAAAACAUUUAUUGAGCUUCCACUGGGUAAGUCCCAGUCACUGAGCUUUGUACUGGUGAUGCAAGCCCUGCCUUCAAGGAACCCAUGAUCCAAUGGUAAAGACAGAUAAGGAAACAGAAAAUUAUUAAUACAAUACAGUAUUCAUGAGCACAGGGUCAGAGGAGUUAAUAACUCAGAUCAGGGAAGGGGAUGGUAAAGAAAGCUUACCAGAGGAGGUAGCUCCUGAGGCACUUGACAGGACCCUUUAAAGGAAGGUGGAAAUAGAACUUAUUUUCCAAGGUCUGAUUAUAUUUUUUCGAGACAAGGUCUUGCUCUGUCUCUUGGACUAGAGUGCAGUGGCAUCAUCAUAGCUCACUGCAACCUCAA